AGAGUUUGAUCAUGGCUCAGAUUGAACGCUGGCGGCAGGCCUAACACAUGCAAGUCGAGCGGUAGAGAGAAGCUUGCUUCUCUUGAGAGCGGCGGACGGGUGAGUAAUGCCUAGGAAUCUGCCUGGUAGUGGGGGAUAACGUUCGGAAACGGACGCUAAUACCGCAUACGUCCUACGGGAGAAAGCAGGGGACCUUCGGGCCUUGCGCUAUCAGAUGAGCCUAGGUCGGAUUAGCUAGUUGGUGAGGUAAUGGCUCACCAAGGCGACGAUCCGUAACUGGUCUGAGAGGAUGAUCAGUCACACUGGAACUGAGACACGGUCCAGACUCCUACGGGAGGCAGCAGUGGGGAAUAUUGGACAAUGGGCGAAAGCCUGAUCCAGCCAUGCCGCGUGUGUGAAGAAGGUCUUCGGAUUGUAAAGCACUUUAAGUUGGGAGGAAGGGCAGUUACCUAAUACGUGAUUGUUUUGACGUUACCGACAGAAUAAGCACCGGCUAACUCUGUGCCAGCAGCCGCGGUAAUACAGAGGGUGCAAGCGUUAAUCGGAAUUACUGGGCGUAAAGCGCGCGUAGGUGGUUAGUUAAGUUGGAUGUGAAAUCCCCGGGCUCAACCUGGGAGCUGCAUUCAAAACUGACUGACUAGAGUAUGGUAGAGGGUGGUGGAAUUUCCUGUGUAGCGGUGAAAUGCGUAGAUAUAGGAAGGAACACCAGUGGCGAAGGCGACCACCUGGACUGAUACUGACACUGAGGUGCGAAAGCGUGGGGAGCAAACAGGAUUAGAUACCCUGGUAGUCCACGCCGUAAACGAUGUCAACUAGCCGUUGGGAGCCUUGAGCUCUUAGUGGCGCAGCUAACGCAUUAAGUUGACCGCCUGGGGAGUACGGCCGCAAGGUUAAACUCA
rnacentral:rRNA from 1 species